rnacentral:rRNA from 1 species
CCUACGGGUGACAGCAGUGAGGAAUAUUGGUCAAUGGGCUUACGCCUGAACCAGCCAAGUCGCGUGAGGGAAGACUGCCCUAUGGGUUGUAAACCUCUUUUGUCAGGGAGCAACGCCGGCUACGUGUAGCCGGACUGAGAGUACCUGAAGAAAAAGCAUCGGCUAACUCCGUGCCAGCAGCCGCGGUAAUACGGAGGAUGCGAGCGUUAUCCGGAUUUAUUGGGGUUAAGGGGUGCGUAGGCGGAAUGCCAAGUCAGCGGGAAAAUCGCGGGGCUCAACCCCGCUCCGCCGUUGAAACUGGCGUUCUUGAGUGGGCGAGAAGUAUGCGGAAUGCGUGGUGUAGCGGUGAAAUGCAUAGAUAUCACGCAGAACUCCGAUUGCGAAGGCAGCAUACCGGCGCCCAACUGACGCUGAAGCACGAAAGCGUGGGUAUCGAACAGGAUUAGAUACCCGAGUAGUC